ACCUCUUCAAGGCUGCCGCCGAGAUCACCGACUCCGAUCCGUAAAACGACGGACGAUGCGACGCCGCAGCGCUCCGUCGCUUAUGUUUCUCGGUCUCCGGUGUUGCGGUGGGAAAGCAACUGCGAGGAUCACAUUUUCAAGUGAUGGCGGGAGUGGGAAGAAGAAGAAAAAGACCAGGUUUUGGUUGAAGAAGAAGAAGAAGAAGGGAGUAGAGAGAUCUAAUGGUGUGGUGAGGAGCAGAAGAAAAAGAGUGGGAGAAGAUUUGGUGUUUGCUUGAAGAAGAGGAAGGCUGUAGCUUCCAAUUGUGGAUCGUCUUCUGAUUCCAAAGGUGAUGUUGGUGUGUGGGAGUUUCUUAUUAUUGGUAGCAGAUUGUUGAAUGACUUGAUGCCUCUAGGUUGUCUUGAACUUUCAAGUUGUUUGGAAUCAAGGAAACUGAUGGUGCAGCUGCAAUGUUCUCUCAACAUGCUUGAACGAGAUACUGGGUAUGUUUUACCAUUGAUAUCUUUUCUCUGACUGAUAUCUACUGACCAGAUAAUUGUUGCCUUUGCCAAAUACAAGUCAUUUAUAGUAAAAAAAAAGUUACCAAAUCCAAUGGUUUGUACUUUGUAGCUAGUGCAUUGGUAUGUAUCUAAUAGUAUACAGACCCAUAUAGAUCCAUAUUCUGCUUUUGAUUAAGACAUGUUUAUGCAUGAAGGGGAAAUUUCUAAUUUUUAUGUGCUACCUGCUCUAGUUAUAAGGCAUGCAAGACUCUUGACAACUUUUACCAGUUUCUAUGUUUGAUUAGUUUGUACUAAUAUAUAAAUAAUAGUGUUGGGCUUGGUGGGUUUUACUAGUUUUACAUGUAAAACAAAAAAGGAAAAUUAUGGUUCUUCCAUGUAGCAUUUGAAUUUGUUGUUAAUAAUAUGAAAUUCUGUUUCUUCGUCUAUCUGCUUAUUUGAUUGAGGUAGUAGUGCUAUUGUCUCUCUUAAAUGUAGGUUUACUUGCCUAGUUGUCUGUAAUGAAACUUUUCUUUUAUUCCUAUUUGUUAAUGUCACCUGACAUUGUGUACUUGUCAACAAACUGAAUUAUUCCAUUGUUAAUUGCUACAUUUGACAAAUUUGGCAGGUGAUUUCAAGCUGUUGAGUAGCUUGAAAGUUUUGUGGGUCGUAGAGUUACAGAGAGAAGUAGAGAAGCAAAGGAGCGCUAGAUCAACAAGAAAAUCAGAAUGAGUGGAGGCGGCAUGGAAGCAGUGUCGUCUAGGCCACAAGAGGCUAAUGGCCAGCACAAGAGGAAUUUGCUAUGGGAACUUUCUUGUGGUCCAACUAGCCCUUGCUGUUGUUCUUGUAUCUAGUAUGAGAGAUUAUACUUUUGUUAGACGACUUUGUUAAUUGUUUUCACUUAGUAUGGUAAUUGAUUUGUUACUGAUGUCUACCUAGCUAGUUGAUCUUUGUGUGAUGUUCAGUAAUGAUAUCUGGGUUUUGCUGAG